rnacentral:rRNA from 1 species
GCGGAGGAAAAGAAACCAACAGGGAUUGCCCUAGUAACGGCGAGUGAAGCGGCAACAGCUCAAAUUUGAAAUCUGGCGUCUUCGGCGUCCGAGUUGUAAUUUGCAGAGGGCGCUUUGGCAUUGGCAGCGGUCCAAGUUCCUUGGAACAGGACGUCACAGAGGGUGAGAAUCCCGUACGUGGUCGCUAGCCUUUACCGUGUAAAGCCCCUUCGACGAGUCGAGUUGUUUGGGAAUGCAGCUCUAAAUGGGAGGUAAAUUUCUUCUAAAGCUAAAUACUGGCCAGAGACCGAUAGCGCACAAGUAGAGUGAUCGAAAGAUGAAAAGCACUUUGGAAAGAGAGUUAAAAAGCACGUGAAAUUGUUGAAAGGGAAGCGCUUGCAGCCAGACUUGCCUGUAGUUGCUCAUCCGGGUUUUUACCCGGUGCACUCUUCUAUAGGCAGGCCAGCAUCAGUUUGGGCGGUUGGAUAAAGGUCUCUGUCAUGUACCUCUCUUCGGGGAGAACUUAUAGGGGAGACGACAUGCAACCAGCCUGGACUGAGGUCCGCGCAUCUGCUAGGAUGCUGGCGUAAUGGCUGUAAGCGGCCCGUCUUGAAACACGGACCAAGGAGUCUAACAUCUAUGCGAGUGUUUGGGUGUCAAGCCCGAGCGCGUAAUGAAAGUGAACGGAGGUGGGAACCUUUCGGGGUGCACCAUCGACCGAUCCUGAUGUCUUCGGAUGGAUUUGAGUAAGAGCAUAGCUGUUGGGACCCGAAAGAUGGUGAACUAUGCUUGAAUAGGGUGAAGCCAGAGGAAACUCUGGUGGAGGCUCGCAGCGGUUCUGACGUGCAAAUCGAUCGUCAAAUUUGGGCAUAGGGGCGAAAGACUAAUCGAACUAUCUAGUAG